UGGGCGUAAAGAGCUCGUAGGUGGUUUGUCGCGUUGUUCGUGAAAUCUCACGGCUUAACUGUGAGCGUGCGGGCGAUACGGGCAGACUUGAGUACUGCAGGGGAGACUGGAAUUCCUGGUGUAGCGGUGGAAUGCGCAGAUAUCAGGAGGAACACCGGUGGCGAAGGCGGGUCUCUGGGCAGUAACUGACGCUGAGGAGCGAAAGCGUGGGGAGCGAACAGGAUUAGAUACCCUGGUAGUCCACGCCGUAAACGGUGGGUACUAGGUGUGGGUUUCCUUCCUUGGGAUCCGUGCCGUAGCUAACGCAUUAAGUACCCCGCCUGGGGAGUACGGCCGCAAGGCUAAAACUCAAAGAAAUUGACGGGGGCCCGCACAAGCGGCGGAGCAUGUGGAUUAAUUCGAUGCAACGCGAAGAACCUUACCUGGGUUUGACAUGCACAGGACGCCGGCAGAGAUGUCGGUUCCCUUGUGGCCUGUGUGCAGGUGGUGCAUGGCUGUCGUCAGCUCGUGUCGUGAGAUGUUGGGUUAAGUCCCGCAGCGAGCGCAACCCUUGUCUCAUGUUGCCAGCGGGUAAUGUCCGGGGACUCGUGAGAGACUGCCGGGGUCAACUCGGAGGAAGGUGGGGAUGACGUCAAGUCAUCAUGCCCCUUAUGUCCAGGGCUUCACACAUGCUACAAUGGCCGGUACAAAGGGCUGCGAUGCCGCGAGGUUAAGCGAAUCCUUUUAAAGCCGGUCUCAGUUCGGAUCGGGGUCUGCAACUCGACCCCGUGAAGUCGGAGUCGCUAGUAAUCGCAGAU
rnacentral:rRNA from 1 species